rnacentral:rRNA from 1 species
GAUGAACGCUAGCUACAGGCUUAACACAUGCAAGUCGAGGGGUAACGAGAGGAAAGCUUGCUUUCCUUGUCGACGACCGGCGCACGGGUGAGUAACGCGUAUCCAACCUGCCCCCAACUAGGGAAUAACCUUGCGAAAGUAAGACUAAUACCCUAUAAUUUCCUCAGAUGUCAUCUGACGAGGAAUAAAGAUUUAUCGGUUGUGGAUGGGGAUGCGUCUGAUUAGCUUGCUGGCGGGGUAACGGCCCACCAAGGCAACGAUCAGUAGGGGUUCUGCGCGGAAGGUCCCCCACAUUGGAACUGAGACACGGUCCAUACUCCUACGGGAGGCAGCAGUGAGGAAUAUUGGUCCAUGGGCGGAAGCCUGAACCAGCCAAGUAGCGGGCAGGAUGACGGCCCUAUGGGUUGUAAACUGCUUUUAUACAGGAAUAAAGUUAGCCACGUGUGGUUAUUUGUAGGUACUGUAUGAAUAAGGACCGGCUAAUUCCGUGCCAGCAGCCGCGGUAA